AGUGAACGCUGGCGGUAGGCCUAACACAUGCAAGUCGAACGGCAGCACAGGAGAGCUUGCUCUCUGGGUGGCGAGUGGCGGACGGGUGAGGAAUACAUCGGAAUCUACUCUGUCGUGGGGGAUAACGUAGGGAAACUUACGCUAAUACCGCAUACGACCUACGGGCGAAAGCAGGGGACCUUCGGGCCUUGCGCGAUUGAAUGAGCCGAUGUCGGAUUAGCUAGUUGGCGGGGUAAAGGCCCACCAAGGCGACGAUCCGUAGCUGGACUGAGAGGAUGAUCAGCCACACUGGAACUGAGACGCGGUCCAGACUCCUACGGGAGGCAGCAGUGGGGAAUAUUGGACAUUGGGCGCAAGCCUGAUCCAGCCAUACCGCGUGGGUGAAGAAGGCCUUCGGGUUGUAAAGCCCUUUUGUUGGGAAAGAAAUCCAGCUGGCUAAUACCCGGUUGGGAUGACGGUACCCAAAGAAUAAGCACCGGCUAACUUCGUGCCAGCCGCCGCCGUAA
rnacentral:rRNA from 1 species